ensembl:misc_RNA 7SK 7SK RNA
GGCUGUGAGGGCAAUCUGGCUGUGACGUCUGUCACGCUGUUGAUCACCAGGGUUGAUCCGGCUGAUCUGGCUGGCUAGGCGGGUGUCCCCUUCCUCCCUCACCGCUCCAUGUAUGUCCCUCCUGAAGUUGCGCCCUCUGUCAAAGAGAAUGACCAUCCCCAGUAGAGGAGGACUGGUCUUCGGUUGGGCUAUAUGAGUAGCUGCACUCCCCGGCUAGAACUCCAAACAAGCUCUCAAGGUCCUGGAUAGCUGGUACUAUAGGCACACGCCAUCAUACUUCACUAUCAUUCCCUUCUCAAUUAAAGAU